GAUGAACGCUGGCGGCGUGCCUAAUACAUGCAAGUCGAGCGAACAGAUAAGGAGCUUGCUCCUUUGACGUUAGCGGCGGACCGGUGAGUAACACGUGGAUAACCUACCUAUAAGACUGGGAUAACUUCGGGAAACCGGAGCUAAUACCGGAUAACAUAUUGAACCGCAUGGUUCAAUAGUGAAAGGCGGCUUUGCUGUCACUUAUAGAUGGAUCCGCGCCGUAUUAGCUAGUUGGUAAGGUAACGGCUUACCAAGGCAACGAUACGUAGCCGACCUGAGAGGGUGAUCGGCCACACUGGAACUGAGACACGGUCCAGACUCCUACGGGAGGCAGCAGUAGGGAAUCUUCCGCAAUGGGCGAAAGCCUGACGGAGCAACGCCGCGUGAGUGAUGAAGGUCUUCGGAUCGUAAAACUCUGUUAUCAGGGAAGAACAAAUGUGUAAGUAACUGUGCACAUCUUGACGGUACCUGAUCAGAAAGCCACGGCUAACUACGUG
rnacentral:rRNA from 1 species